AGCUUAGAGUACCUUCCUGCGGGGAGGGGCGGUGUCCCGAGAGCCGCCAGCGUCCAAUCCUAGGACGUGCACAGCCCUGUCCCGGCCUUCCGGACCUUGCCACCCUCCCCGCUGCUGGCCCCGGCGGAGUGGGUCAGUUGGGGUUAGGAAGAGUGUGGUCCGUGGGCCAGCAGCUUCGCCAACACCACGGAGCGUGUUAGAAAUAAAGACUCUUGAGCCCCACCCAGCCUCCUGCAUCGGAAUCUGCAUGGAAGUUCAAACCACGGAAGUCCUGGGCCUUGCAAAGGAGAACCCUCCACUCAGUCCCACGGUGAACCCCAAGCCACGCUCCUGUCUCUGAAGUCUUGGCCAACUUUGGGUCUGCUUGGGGUCCUGCCCUGCUCUGCUCAGAGAGCCUCAACGUGUGAUCAAUAAACCUUUCCAUGCUCUC